GACGAACGCUGGCGGUAUGCUUAACACAUGCAAGUCGAACGAGACGAGAUGGAAGUGCUUGCACGGAAAUCUUAGAAAGUGGCGAACGGGUGAGUAACGCGUGGGUAACCUGCCCUAUGGAAAGGAAUAGCCUCGGGAAACUGGGAGUAAUGCCUUAUAAGAUAUAACUGUCGCAUGGCAGAUGUAUUAAACGCUCCGGUGCCAUAGGAUGGACCCGCGUCCCAUUAGCUAGUUGGUGAGAUAACAGCCCACCAAGGCGACGAUGGGUAACCGGUCUGAGAGGGCGAACGGUCACACUGGAACUGAGACACGGUCCAGACUCCUACGGGAGGCAGCAGUGGGGAAUAUUGCGCAAUGGGGGAAACCCUGACGCAGCAAUACCGCGUGAGUGAAGAAGGUUUUCGGAUCGUAAAGCUCUGUUAUUGGGGAAGAAAAAAAGACGGUACCCAAGAAGAAAGUCCCGGCUAACUACGUGCCAGCAGCCGCGGUAAUACGUAGGGGACAAGCGUUGUCCGGAUUUACUGGGCGUAAAGGGCACGCAGGCGGUUUUUUAAGUCAGAUGUGAAAGGUACCGGCUCAACCGG
rnacentral:rRNA from 1 species